UACCUACGGGGCGCAGCAGUGGGGAAUAUUGCACAAUGGGGGGAACCCUGAUGCAGCGACGCCGCGUGAGUGAAGAAGUAUUUCGGUAUGUAAAGCUCUAUCAGCAGGGAAGAAAAUGACGGUACCUGACUAAGAAGCCCCGGCUAACUACGUGCCAGCAGCCGCGGUAAUACGUAGGGGGCAAGCGUUAUCCGGAUUUACUGGGUGUAAAGGGAGCGUAGACGGCAGAGCAAGUCUGAAGUGAAAUCCCUCGGCUCAACUGAGGAACUGCAACCAAAACUAUUCUCCUUGAGUGUCGUAGAGGA
rnacentral:rRNA from 1 species